rnacentral:rRNA from 1 species
AUUGAACGCUGGCGGCAUGCUUUACACAUGCAAGUCGAACGGUAACAGGCCGCAAGGUGCUGACGAGUGGCGAACGGGUGAGUAAUGCAUCGGAACGUGCCCAGUCGUGGGGGAUAACGCAGCGAAAGCUGUGCUAAUACCGCAUACGAUCUAUGGAUGAAAGCGGGGGACCGUAAGGCCUCGCGCGAUUGGAGCGGGCGAUGUCAGAUUAGGUAGUUGGUGGGGUAAAGGCUCACCAAGCCAACGAUCUGUAGCGGGUCUGAGAGGACGACCAGCCACACUGGGACUGAGACACGGCCCAGACUCCUACGGGAGGCAGCAGUGGGGAAUUUUGGACAAUGGGCGCAAGCCUGAUCCAGCAAUGCCGCGUGCAGGAAGAAGGCCCUCGGGUUGUAAACUGCUUUUGUACGGAACGAAACGGUCUGGGUUAAUACCCUGGGCUAAUGACGGUACCGUAAGAAUAAGCACGGCUAACUACGUGCCAGCAGCCGCCGUAACAC